rnacentral:rRNA from 1 species
AGAGUUUGAUCCUGGCUCAGGACGAACGCUGGCGGCGCGCUUAACACAUGCAAGUCGAGCGAGAACCAGGCCUUCGGGCCUGGGGAAAGCGGCGAACGGGUGAGUAACACGUGGGUAACCCACCCUUGGUACUGGGAUAGCCCGGGGAAACCCGGAUUAAUACCGGAUGGCCCAACAGCUCUUCGGGGCGGUUGGAAAAGGUAGCUUCGGCCUCCGACCAAGGACGGGCCCGCGGCGGAUUAGCUUGUUGGUGGGGUAACGGCCUACCAAGGCGACGAUCCGUAGCUGGUCUGAGAGGACGAUCAGCCACACUGGGACUGAGACACGGCCCAGACUCCUACGGGAGGCAGCAGUGGGGAAUCUUGCGCAAUGGGCGAAAGCCUGACGCAGCGACGCCGCGUGGGGGAAGAAGGCUUUCGGGUUGUAAACCCCUUUCAGGAGGGACGAAGCUACUCGGGUGAAUAGCCCAGAGGGUGACGGUACCUCCAGAAGAAGCCCCGGCUAACUACGUGCCAGCAGCCGCGGUAAUACGUAGGGGGCAAGCGUUGUCCGGAUUUAUUGGGCGUAAAGAGCGUGUAGGCGGCCAUGUAGGUCCGUUGUGAAAACUCGAGGCUCAACCUCGAGACGCCGAUGGAAACCAUGUGGCUAGAGUCCGGAAGAGGAGAGUGGAAUUCCCGGUGUAGCGGUGAAAUGCGCAGAUAUCGGGAAGAACACCCGUGGCGAAGGCGGCUCUCUGGGACGGUACUGACGCUGAGACGCGAAAGCGUGGGGAGCGAACAGGAUUAGAUACCCUGGUAGUCCACGCCGUAAACGAUGGGUACUAGGUGUGGCGGGUGUCGACUCCCGCUGUGCCGAAGCUAACGCAUUAAGUACCCCGCCUGGGGAGUACGGCCGCAAGGCUAAAACUCAA